GCUCGGGGGUUUCUAGCAGGACUCUGUCGGUUGGUUAGCGGGCCAUUGUUAACCCUCUUCCUGGGCUUUCCUGGCCCCAGAACUAGCCCGGAGCCUUGCGGAUGGCAGUGAGAGCUGCGGAAGGAAACCUCUUUACUCAGCCGCUCUGGGCAGCCUACCGGGCUCCGAAACUCCCGAGGCAAAGCCGGAAGAACCUCUCCUUCCCUCCGUCCCACGGAAGGAGCUCCGACUAGGGGAAAGUCCUGAAGGGAGAAAUCUCCAAGGCAACGAGGAAUUUCAAACGGCCGAGGUUAGAUGGAAGCCUAUGAUUUUAUCCAUAUAAAAGAGGAAGUACGGAUUUUGGGGGCUAUCCAGAUCAGCAUCGGCAUCUUUCAGUUGUUCUUGGGGAUCCUGUGGUUCUACCUCUACCUGACCCAGUUUGCAGACUCUUUUCUCACUUACAAGACCUUAAUUUGGAAUGCGAAAUACCCAUUAUUAUCAGCGUUUAUCGUGAGUAGCCCAGCCCUUGCUGUAACCGACAGACCCUUGGUGACGCCAGAAUGGGCCCGAUCGCUGGGGGAACAAACAUGGCAGACCCCAAGGAAAAGAGGGGCCAGACUCUCUCUGCUUGACCCAGGGCACAGAACAAGGAGUAAGGGGCACAGUUGCAAAAAGGGAGGCUCAGAGUCUGGAGGAGCUUCCUCACACCCCCCACAAUGGACUAAGUGCCCCUGGAGGUUGUAA
rnacentral:lncRNA from 1 species